rnacentral:rRNA from 1 species
GACGAACGCUGGCGGCGUGCCUAACACAUGCAAGUCGAACGAUGAAAGAGGAGCUUGCUCCUCUGGAUUAGUGGCGAACGGGUGAGUAACACGUGAGCAAUCUGCCCCUGACUCCGGAAUAACUACGGGAAACUGUAGCUAAUACCGGAUAUGCGCCGAACAGGCAUCUGUAUCGGGGGGUAAGAAUUUCGGUCAGGGAUGAGCUAGCGGCCUAUCAGCUUGUUGGUGAGGUAACGGCUCACCAAGGCGACGACGGGUAGCCGGCCUGAGAGGGUGACCGGCCACAUUGGGACUGAGACACGGCCCAGACUCCUACGGGAGGCAGCAGUGGGGAAUAUGGCACAAUGGGCGCAAGUCUGAUGCAGAAACGCCGCGUGAGGGAUGACGGCCUUCGGGUUGUAAACCUCUUUUAGCAGGGAAGAAGCGAAAGUGGCGGUACCUGCAGAAAAAGCGCCGGCUAACUACGUG